rnacentral:rRNA from 1 species
AGAGAGAGACAUGCGCGCAUAUCAAUAAGCGGAGGAAAAGAAACUAACUAGGAUUCCCCUCAGUAACGGCGAGUGAAGCGGGAAGAGCUCAAAUUUGAAAUCUUAAAGGGUUUCCCUUGACGAAUUGUAGUUUAAAGAAGUGUUUUCUGUUGAGGUUUUGGUAAAAGUUCUUUGGAAUAGGACAUCAUAGAGGGUGAGAAUCCCGUAUUUGACCUUUACUUUCAACUUUGUGAUACACUUUCAAAGAGUCGGAUUGUUUGGGAAUGCAGUCCAAAAUGGGUGGUAAAUUUCAUCUAAAGCUAAAUAUUGGCGAGAGACCGAUAGCGAACAAGUACCGUGAGGGAAAGAUGAAAAGAACUUUGAAAAGAGAGUUAAACAGUACGUGAAAUUGUCAAAAGGGAAGCGUUUGACACCAGUGUUGUUUUCUCGAAAAUCAAUUAAAGAAGCAUGAUUUAUGUAAGUUGUAUUAGACUUUAUCAGCUUACUGCACUCGUUUCUUGUCCUUUUUAAUGCACUUUUCAGUUAACAAGUCAACAUCAAUUUCUUUUGUUGUAAAAGGGUCAUUGGAAGGUGGCUUUCUUUUCGGAGAAAGUGUUUAUAGCCUUUGGCCUCUGCAAUCGGAGAGAUUGAGGUCUGCAGCGUAGAUCCUUCGGGGUUAGAUACAUUUGUGCUAAGUUAUAGCCUUUCAUAGACAACUUGUUGACUAUGAUCAGUCAUGUAGCUUACUCGCUUAUGCUAUUUUACCUACGCUUAGGAUGUUGAUGUGAUACUGCGAGCA